rnacentral:lncRNA from 1 species
CGCGGUCAAAGCAGCACCCAAAAUUAACUGCCCGAAUGCCGGGGCGCCAAGUUCGUCCAGCGGAAAAAGGCCACAAAAACGGGUGGGCUAUAGCCUUGGGGGGUGAUGCUGGCCAACUUCGUCCGCCGGACUCGGAAUGCCGCGAGACUUUGCGAGGGGCCUCUGUGUGCCAAAAAUAGGCCGCGGGCAAAGUUGCGCACGAAAAUAACCGCCCAACGUCCGGGGCGCCAAGUUCGUCCAGCGGAAAAAGGCCACAAAAACGGGUGGGCUAUAGCCUUGGGGGGUGAGGCUGGCCAACUUCGUCCGACGGAUUCGGAAUGCCGCGAGACUUUGCGAGGGGCCUCCGUGUGCCAAAAAUAGGCCGCGGGUAAAGCCGCGCCCAAAAAUAACCGCCCAAAGGCCGGGGCGCCAAGUUCGUCCCGCGGAAAAAGGCCAUAAAAACGGGUGGGCUAUACCCUUGGCGGGUGGGGUGGCCCACUUCGUCCGCCGGACUCGGAAUGCCCCCAGAAUUUGUGAGGGGCCUCCGUGUGCCAAAAAUAGGCCGCGCGCAAUGCCGCACCCAAAAAUAACCGCCCGAAGGCCGGGGCGCCAAGUUCGUCCAGCGGAAAAAGGCCACAAAAACGGGUGCGCUUUAGCCUUGGGGGGUGGGGCUGGCCAACUUCGUCGGCCGGACUCGGAAUGCCACGAGACUUUGCGAGGGGCCUCUGUGUGCCAAAAAUAGGCCGCGGGCAAAGCCGCGCACGAAAAUAACCGCCCGACGUCCGGGGCGCCAAGUUCGUCCAGCGGAAAAAGGCCACAAAAACGGGUGGGCUAUAGCCUUGGGGGGUGAGGCUGGCCAACUUCGUCCAACGGAUUCGGAAUGCCGCGAGACUUUGCGAGGGGCCUCCGUGUGCCAAAAAUAGGCCGCGGGUAA